rnacentral:rRNA from 1 species
AUAUUGCACAAUGGGCGAAAGCCUGAUGCAGCAACGCCGCGUGCGGGAUGACGGCCUUCGGUUUGUAAACCUCUUUUAGUAGGGAAGANGCGUAAGUGACGGUACCUGCAGAAAAAGCACCGGCUAACAACGUGCCAGCAGCCGCGGUAAUACGUAGGGUGCAAGCGUUGUCCGGAAUUACUGGGCGUAAAGAGCUCGUAGGCGGUUUGUCGCGGCUGAUGUGAAAUCCCGAGGCUCAACCUCGGGCUUGCAGUGGGUACGGGCAGACUAGAGUGCGGUAGGGGAGAUUGGAAUUCCUGGUGUAGCGGUGGAGUGCGCAGAUAUCAGGAGGAACACCGAUGGCGAAGGCAGAUCUCUGGGCCGUAACUGACGCUGAGGAGCGAAAGCGUGGGGAGCGAACAG